rnacentral:rRNA from 1 species
GACGAACGCUGGCGGCGUGCCUAACACAUGCAAGUCGAACGGGGUGAUUCCUUCGGGGAUCACUUAGUGGCGAACGGGUGAGUAACGCGUGAGAAACCUGCCUUUCAGUGGGGGACAACAGUUGGAAACGACUGCUAAUACCGCAUAACGUAUUUUGGGGGCAUCCCUGAAAUACCAAAGCUUUAUGUGCUGAAAGAUGGUCUCGCGUCUGAUUAGCUAGAUGGCGGGGUAACGGCCCACCAUGGCGACGAUCAGUAGCCGGUCUGAGAGGUUGAUCGGCCACAUUGGAACUGAGACACGGUCCAAACUCCUACGGGAGGCAGCAGUGGGGAAUAUUGGGCAAUGGGCGAAAGCCUGACCCAGCAACGCCGCGUGAGGGAAGAAGGUUUUCGGAUUGUAAACCUCUGUCCUAAGGGAAGAAGGAAGUGACGGUACCUUAGGAGGAAGCCCCGGCUAACUACGUG